CAUUUUGAAAUGAAAUUGUAUAUGAAUUUCAAUGAAAGUAAUCCAAAACAGAAUUUUAUGCCUAAAAAUAUAUAUUCCCGUACUUUAACACUUUAUAUCUUCGAAACUCAAAGAGAAACUACAACAAAUUUUGUAUCAUCGGAAAGAGAAUUUAAAUUGCUAUAAACUUUAUAUUGACAAAAAUAAUGUCAAACUUACAGAAAAUAUUAAAAUAAUGACAUUUUUAACAUAAGUGUGUGUAAUCACAAAAUAAUGCCAACACCUCUGUUCAGAUAAGACAGUCACCUUUAUCAGCCAUAUACCGAUUAUAGAUUAUUGAUUAUCACUUAUCAGUGUUAUGUAAAAGAGGUUACUUUGGCUUCUGUUCUGUGUGGUAAAGGGUUAACGUCGCACCGACACAAUUAUAGGUCAUAUGGCGACGUUAUGUCAACCAGAUCCACAAUGUUACUUACCCGAAAUUAUAUAGGUAUAACUUCUACAGCUUCUGCCAUUAAAGCAUUUAAUUUUCUGCAGUUAUGGUGCUUUUGCUACAGUUAUAUAUGUCAUCUAAUCUCAACGACUUGAAAAACGUCUGAGAAGAGACGUCUCGAAGUAGAUAUGCACAUACAUUAUUCAAAAGCCAUUGACAAUCUCAAACAAACCAGCAGACGACAAAAAAAAAACCCAAAAAACUAUGGAGUACCGUAUUCAUAUUAAUUUAAUUUUUGAUUUGUGUAGUCUGCUCUGUUUUUCAUGAUGAAUAAGAGACAUCUGUGAUGUGGGAUAUCCAUGAACUUAUUAAAUUUUGUGAUAUCUUUAUGAAUAUUAAGCUUUUACUAAAUUAAUACGGAAUCCCAUAUACAACAAUCAAUGAAAAGAUUUUUUAAUUAUGUUUUAAUCAAUACUUUCACUAAUCGAGACUUAAUUUGCAGCGAACUUAAUUGAUUGCAGGUCAUUAGAAAUGAAUGAUAAAAUCAUUUGUUUUACGUGCACGUCUCUCUUUCAUUGCGGUGGAUUGAAAAACAUAAUGAUACAUUUCAUUCUAAUGUUCUAUACUCGUUUUCAUGCAAAUUGAGCUAUCUUACAAUGAAAAAGAUACCCUAAAUCAUUAAUAAUUGUACUUAUCCUAUUAUAGCUUUAAAAUAUAAAGUAAACCAUAUGAUUGGACGAUCCGUUUUUUUUUCCUGAAAUAAUUAGCUAAAAUACAACACGUUAAAUGAUAUUAACCUUCUGUGGAUAUUAUUUCCUGAUAACCUCUUCUUUUGACAUGUACUGCAGAACAACAACUUCCUGAAGGAGAGCCUGAAAUUGUUCGGCAAAAUUAUGAUGCAGUCGAUUUACAAGACCUUAGAAGAUCUCUCGAAAAAGACUUCAGCUUGGCGCAUUUUACUGAAGAGCAUGUCCGUGAAUGGAAUAUAUUCUUUGAAAAGACAGCCACCAUCGAGACAGAGACAUGGCCGUUGCAUAAUUUGAGGCCGUGUCAAAAUAUUACAUAUUCAUCCACACUGACAGAAAAAGAGGCAGAUAUUCUGAGACUGUAUAAGGAGAAGCGUCAUCAGUAUAAACAGGUAUAUUCGAGCAACAUCCACGGGGACAGAAGGCGAUAUAUGGAGGGUGAGCAUGUUGUUUUUAACCAUACCAGGUUAAAAAGAAUAGGCCAGAUCGAAAGUGUUCACGACGGAAUGUUGACGUUAGAAGAACUGCAGGAGCGGGGAAGGAAGUACUUCCGCACUGGGCAAAAGGAGAGGGUGCGAAUAGAAGAAUGCUACCCGGGAACUUUUGAUUUAAAUAGAGACUCGUCACUUCCCAGAAAAAUAAGAGCAAAAUAUUUUGCGUAGCUAUAUAAUGAAUAAAUCUCUCUCGAAUACUGAUCAUUUUGUAAAACGUGGCAAUAAAGUAAUGCGGUACUUUGAUAUGAACUAACCAUUUAAAGUGACAUGCCUCCAGAUCGUUCGACAACAAAUAUGCUUUUUUUUUUAGAUAUCUUGAAAUAAAUGCUAUGCAUGUAUUUCUUAAGAAGGCUUUAAACCUUAAUUACUGACAAACUUUAUGUUACGGAAACACAUGAGAAUUUUCUGUUUUUACUACUUUUUUACGAAGAAAAUCGAAAAGCGUUUGUCACGUUUUUACUUGAGGUGAACUGUCUCAAUUAUAAGUAUCUAUAUUUGGAAGUAAUUAUUCCCUACUUCAGCUAUAGCGCUAUUGGUUACGAUGACGGGAAAAUGUCUAUUGCCGCGGCGGUCCGGGGUUCGAUUCCCUACACGGUCAUCUUUUUUUCUUGAUUUAGAAUUCUAAAAAUAUUUUAGAAACAAAAAUUCAUAUUCUAAUGGUCAUUAUAUGACCAAAACUUCAAUCUGAAAGAAAUUUUUUUUUAACCAAAUCUUGAGGCAUGCUGCUUUAAUUAUCACGAAAAAUUUUAAAUUCCAUUUACUGACAAAGAAUAAAUCUGUUAGCGGCCACAUUGUCUCAAAUGAUUAGUACAUGUUUUACAGUAUUAAUUCAUUUAAAUGGCACAAUUAAGAUUUAUGUCACAAGAACAUUGAGGCAAGCUACUAAUUUCAGCUAUUUUAAACCAGAAACGUUUUCUCGGCUCUUUUAGAAAAAAAAAAAGCCUUAUAAUUGUUUACCAUGUUUUUUCUGUCACUUUAUGCAAGACCACUAGGAUAAGAGAUGGUUCUUGUCUAACAAAGACUUCUUGACAUGUACGCAACCAUUGUUAACUUUAUCUCUGUUAUAAAAGGGACUUGCAGAGAACAUAAUUUCACUUGUCCAAUGUAAAUAAAUCUUACAGUAUUUAUCCUCUGGAGGAACAUGGUAGUCGAGCCCUUUAAUAUUAUACACUAUUAGAAAACAAACUAUGGUCCAUCACUGGCAUAUGAAUAAUAUAUAAAUGCAAUAUGACAAACGUUCAUAACGUUACGAAGACUUGGGCCUGACUGAUAUAAAACAAUUAUUUAUAAAAUUUUCAUCCAAUGUAUCCAGCCUGACCAAAUAUGAAAUAUAAUUAAAAAAGAUAAGUUGUAUUCACAAAAAAAAAAAAUUAUCAGCUUUGUGUACAUGUACUUUUGAUGCAACCAACGCAGCAACUGAUGUGUCAUUAGUAUUUUAAUAUUACUUAUUUGUUAGUGCAAUUUUAAAUGUUGUCAUUCGCUGCAGAACAGUGUAACUUUCGAUAUGUAUAUAAGAAUGUUCAUUUUACGAAUUUGACCCGUUUAACACAUGUUGAUAAUUAUUUUGUUAUUAGGAUAUGAUUUGUUGAGAUAUCAUAAAAUUACUACUGUGUAUAAGUUUCUUGCAAAUUCCAAAACUUGUGUUAUGUUUCAAAUAGCAAAUGAACUUCCGUAACUUUCACAGGAAUGUAAACUGUUCAUAGACAGAUCAAAACAACUAUUUUACAGAUAGUAAAGGUGCUUUUACAAGACUCCUCUUGCUAAGUUUACAAUAUUAUUUGAACGAACAUUCACACUAGGCUCAUAUUGACUCAUUGAAAAAUAAAAUCAUGUCUGACUGAACUUGAACAUCCAUUGGAAAUUUACUUAUAAUACAAUAUGAUUAAUGUGAGAGUUUUGACGAAAUUAGUUAAUUCAAACAUUUUACUAUUAAUAUAAAUAAUUGUAUAUAAAAAUUGUUCGUUAUAUAAGAUAUUUUAUAAGUGUUAAAUAAGCAGUACAUUCAAGUUUUUAUGCACUUGAAGAUUCUAUCUUAACUAGAAUAUAUUGAAAUAAAUUGAUUAUUUAUUACUAAAUAUUUACAUGAAUAUGCAUUGUGAUGUUGUAAAGUUUGUUUUGACCAUAUAUUUUUUGCUUAAUUUCAAUAUAUAAAUCAAUAAUUUAAAAGGGGUUAAAAUGCUCGUUGGUCUUUUAUCACAGCUUAUUCUGAAAUAAAUUAACUUGCAGGAAUCAUUUGUAGUUCCUUGAAUCUUUACGUUUCGGAAGGAAAUGUACACACUCGGAUGGACUCUGGUAUUUGCAAACAAUUAAAAUGCAUAUUUUAUGUAAAUAUUGAUAGUCGUAUUUGAUAUUUUAUUUUCAACAAAGUAAACGAUGUAAAUAACACUAUAUAUCUGGAAAAAUGAGGUCAGUAUACCACCCGUAACAGUUUGAGGAGAGGGACUGAUCCGUAUAUCUAGUAUUAGAUUCUGGAGGUACGAAUACGUACCACUAAAUAAAUAGUGAAUCGGAUCUUAGUCAUAGAUGGUUCAAUUUAGUUUGUAUGUUAUGUAAUAUGUAAUCUAAGAGAGCGUAAAGUACGUUUGUGGUUUCCGGCCCAUGUGGAAUAGCGUAUUGGAGUUUGCAUACGAUGGUUUAUUGAUUUUUCUUAGCUGAAUUCAGAUAGCGAAUGGGUUCAUAAUCUAAAUAUGUAGAGUUGGCCU